rnacentral:rRNA from 1 species
UACAGAGGGUGCAAGCGUUGUUCGGAAUUAUUGGGCGUAAAGGGCGCGUAGGCGGUGCGGUAAGUCUGUAGUGAAAUCUCUGGGCUCAACUCAGAGUCUGCUAUAGAAACUGCCGUGCUUGAGUGUGGGAGAGGUGAGUGGAAUUCCCGGUGCAGCGGUGAAAUGCGUAGAUAUCGGGAGGAACACCUGUGGCGAAAGCGGCUCACUGGACCACAACUGACGCUGAGGCGCGAAAGCUAGGGGAGCAAACAGG